UACGGAGGGUGCAAGCGUUGUUCGGAAUUACUGGGCGUAAAGCGCGCGUAGGCGGUCUGUUAUGUCAGGUGUGAAAGUCCAUGGCUCAACCAUGGAAGUGCAUUUGAAACUGACAGACUUGAGUACUGGAGGGGGUGGUGGAAUUCCCGGUGUAGAGGUGAAAUUCGUAGAUAUCGGGAGGAAUACCGGUGGCGAAGGCGACCACCUGGCCAGAUACUGACGCUGAGGUGCGAAAGCGUGGGGAGCAAACAGGAUUAGAUACCCCAGUA
rnacentral:rRNA from 1 species